AUUGAACGCUGGCGGCAGGCCUAACACAUGCAAGUCGACCGAGUGGCGGACGGGUGAGUAAUGUCUGGGAAACUGCCUGUUGGAGGGGGAUAACUACUGGAAACGGUAGCUAAUACCGCAUACCAUCGGAUGUGCCCAGAUGGGAUUAACUAGUAGGUGGGGUAACGGCUCACCUAGGCGACGAUCCCUCGCUGGUCUGAGAGGAUGACCCGCCACACUGGAGCUAGGACACGGUCCAGACGCCGACGGGAGACAGCAGUGGGGAAUAUUGCACAAUGAGCGCAAGCCUAAUGCACACAUGCCGCGUGGAUGAGGAGGGGCGUCGGGUUGUAAAGUACGUUCAGCGGGGAGGCGUUACCCACAGAAGAAGCACCGGCUAACUCCGUGCCAGCAGCCGCGGUAAUUC
rnacentral:rRNA from 1 species